AUAACCCUGUGAGUUUAUCACUUCAUGACAGAGCAGUCCUUCAUGACAACAGAACUUCAACAAUUACUUUUACCAUGAGCUUUUUGUGGAUAUUGAUGUUCUUCAUUCAGGAAUCCAGAGGACAGUACACUGUGACUCAGACUCCAACAGUGAAAGCUGUUCUCCCAGAAAAUACAGUUAUUAUAAACUGUAAAACCAGUGUGACUGUAUCUAAUGAUUGUUUUGGUGAUUACACCUGUAUGGCCUGGUACAAACAGAAACCUGGAGGAGCUCCUAAACUCCUGAUGCACUCUUCAAACCAACAUCUGUCUGGGAUUCCAUCUAAGUUCAGUGGCAGUGGAUCUCGUAGUGACUUCACUCUGACCAUCAGUGGAAUCCAGGCUGAAGAUGCAGGAGAUUACUACUGUCAGAGUUACCACAAUGGUCCAGUGUUCACACAGUGAUGCAGAGCUGUACUAAAACCUCCCUCAGUCAGACUGCACAGUGACUGUACUGAUACAGCUGGGACCUACUGCAGGUGCUGAGGGGGAAGAGACCGUGACAUGGAACACUGAUCAGUAGUGAAGUCAACUUUGAAUAAGUUUAGAAAGCAUCAUUCAGAACAUGUUCUCCAUCGUCAUUGUUACAAACCCCCUUUUCUGGUUAUCCCCUUUUCCCACCAACACUAAUACAUCACAGUAGUACAUACUCACAUGAUAACAGACAAUAUUU